UGCCUCUGUAGGCUGCGAGGAAGUUGCACUGUUUUGUUAGUAGGAGAGAAGGGCAUUAGCACUGUGCCGUGCUGCUGACCACCACACCAGCUAUGAACCCAACAACUGAGCAAAGCUCCGCCACGUCCUACACCUCCUCGGCACGAUGGGAAACACCACAUCUUAUUUCAGUCAGGCUUGGCACAGCAUCCUCCCCUCCAUGCCCAGAUUCCCUGAGUCCGGCUAUAGCCCGGGAGAAGAACAGAAAGGAACAAAGCCAGCUCAUCAGCCAUUCCCAUGUCAAUCACCACCACCAUGACCAGGAGGAAGAGAAAGGAAGAGCUGGCUGCUCGAUUAGGUUACUUUGCCUACUACUUGAUGGUGGUCCAUACUAAGUUGUGGUGUGUGGAGGGCAGCAUCCUUCAGAAGGAGAAACACCAACAGUGCCUUUGGGGAAGACUGAGCGGAGAAGAGGUGGAGAUCUGGAUGGUGAUCACCGUGGGAUGGGAUGGCUGGGGACGCUGGGGCAGGUGGCAAGAGACCUGGCCAUUGCAGAUGGACACGGCUCUCUCUGUUCAUGGCAGGGGAAUUGGGCCAGGUGACCUUUGAGGGUUCCUCCCAACUCAAACGAUUCCUAAAGAGGACAGCAGAGCAUUUCCCUGAUGGAAGGAAUCCUCCUGGGCUUGGACAGCUCUGGAUUUGCUGCCAGCAGGCUGGAACCUGAGCAGUGUUACCAAAGGGCUCAGCAUCACAGCAAACCUCUGCCAGCAGCCACCAUCCCUCUGUUUGACUCCUGACCAACUGAAACCAAAAAGGCACUAAAAUGUGCUACAAAGAAACACUUCACCCAAGGCAGCUUGGGGCUUUUCAUCCGUCCCAGCCCCCGUUGAGUCUCCCCAAGGGGGACUUCCAGCUUUCUUCUCCCAGCACCAGGUGUAUCUUUCCCUGGAUGCUCUCAUGCUGGCUCGGAGCCCUCCUUGCUGGCCACGUUUUGUGUUUGCAUGGAAAUCUGCAGCGCGUGGGAGCGCCGAGGAGGAGACAUGGGAAGAUGCUGCGAUAAGAGGCUUGGCAGUGGGGCCAUGGCUCUCCCCACCCUCCGCACAUCACUGCGGGAUUUCAGUGGGUUAUUAACCCAGGAGCUGGUGUGCAGAAUGGGCCAGACUGGCAAAAUCGUCAGGGGACUCCGGGAUCAUUCAAUAAAGACACAAAGGGUUCAAAGGGCUUUUCGGCAACUGGAGAGCGACAAACAGAGCUGAUCGUCCGAGCUGAUUACAUAGGUUCCCAACUGCCCCAGGAGUCCUAGGAGACCACGCCGAAGCUGGGAAGAUUUAUGAGGAGCUACCUGAAUUAGGGAGAGAAGGCAUUCAUUUUGCUCCUGGCUUCGGAAAGGGCAUCGCUGCUUUUUAUUGCACACCAGAGAAAGGGGGCUGGAGGGAUGUGCAGCGAGACAGAGGGAGAGAUAGGCGGGCAGAUAGAGGGAUGGAUGGACGUCUCCCAGGCCAGCUGAUCAUUGUGCUGCCCCAGUUACCCCGGGGAAGGCGAAGCACCCUUGAAACACGGGGUCCGAGUUGCCAGAGCCCUGCCGGCUGCCUCCAGCCCUAUUUAUUCCCUUCACCAUCAGCGUGCUGUCAGGUGGUCUCUCUUUUCUCCCUCCCAACACCGCAGAUCCUGCCUGGCAUCUGAAGGGAAAAAUAACGGGGCCGUCGGCACCGAGAGAAACACUCCUAAUAACCUCCACUUCUUUUCAAGGAGUUCCAGUUGUUGCUCGACAAGUGUUCUCCAGCCCCGGCGAGUGCCAGACAAAAGCUCCCCUCUCCUCCUCUGUGUCGGCUCAACAGCCGCAUUAUUUCCGCAGCCCGCAUCUGCCGGGUGGCAGCCGCGAUU
rnacentral:lncRNA from 1 species